GGUGAACGCUGGCGGCGUGCCUAAUACAUGCAAGUCGAGCGAACGGACGAGAAGCUUGCUUUUCUGAUGUUAGCGGCGGACGGGUGAGUAACACGUGGAUAACCUACCUAUAAGACUGGGAUAACUUCGGGAAACCGGAGCUAAUACCGGAUAAUAUUUUGAACCGCAUGGUUCAAAAGUGAAAGACGGUCUUGCUGUCACUUAUAGAUGGAUCCGCGCUGCAUUGGCUAGUUGGUAAGGUAACGGCUUACCAAGGCAACGAUGCAUAGCCGACCUGAGAGGGUGAUCGGCCACACUGGAACUGAGACACGGUCCAGACUCCUACGGGAGGCAGCAGUAGGGAAUCUUCCGCAAUGGGCGAAAGCCUGACGGAGCAACGCCGCGUGAGUGAUGAAGGUCUUCGGAUCGUAAAACUCUGUUAUUAGGGAAGAACAUAUGUGUAAGUAACUGUGCACAUCUUGACGGUACCUAAUCAGAAAGCCACGGCUAACUACGUG
rnacentral:rRNA from 1 species